rnacentral:lncRNA from 1 species
GGUGUUGCAAAAAUCCCCACUCAAAAAUUCCAAUUAUUUCACAAGUUGGACAAUUUUGCCCUUGGUCCAUUUAACUGUCCAGUUGAAAUUUGACUUUUUGCAUUGACCAUUUUUGGAAAAAUCCAAUUAUGCACCAUGAAAGUACAUGUCAAAUGGAGUUUGUGCAUAUAAAGAACUUGCAAUUUGGACAAACCAUGUGGAAGUUAUG